GAUGUAUUUUUAUUUUCUUUCUUUAAACAAUCAUGCGCGCGUUUCCACUUUAUAUUAAAUGUUUGUUUUUGUUGUUUGUUGUAAUACUUCUGCUUUAAAGUUGUACUUUUUAUCUAAAGAAUUGAGUAAUUGUGUUAUAUUAGGUUAAUUGUGUAUCACAUUAUGCUUACCACAACGAUAGCAAUUGUUAAUAAUUGUUUUGAUUUUUGUUAAAUGUUUUUGAAUAUUUAUCUGAUAAAUUCAGAUAGGUUUACUUAGAUAUUCUUUUGUUUUUAUCUGUGGCUGAAGGUAUUCGGGUUGCAUGUAAAUAAACAGAAUUAUUGUAUUUGUCGAUCUUUGAGUAUAUAAACUAAAUUUAAAACGAAUAUUUUUAUUAUAAGGUUGCAUGCUUUUAAGGUAUUUUUGCACGUUUGCAUGCGUCUAAGGCAUUUACGUCUAAAUAUGUUCCACUAGUGACUAUACUCACUUAUUCUAGUUGCGAACCUGAUAUGUAAAGAGAACAUGAUAAGACUGGACUGAGCGAGACUAAGAACCAUUAUUUACGAACACACAGAUUCAAAGCAAUAAAAACACUAAAUGACACAUAAAACUUUAACGUUUAGAACAAUACAAACACAAAACACAAUAACUUACAGAACACUGCAACAACACGUACUUAAAUCUAACAUGACCACCACUUACUUAACUCAAACUUAAUUACUGAAUAGUACCCUUCUUUUAAACAACAACUCUUAAUUCUGGACAUCUGUCCAAAUAUUAUAAUUUAUCUUGCACUUCCUUGCACUUAUAUAAAAUAUUUCUUGCUUCUCUUAAGACUAUUACGGCCUGAUGGUUCCAUAUAAGUGGUGGAACUUUAAUAGCUUCCACUGCGAAACAAUAACGAUUGAUUUGUUUUAAAACAAUUUGUUGCAGCUUUUUUUUAAAUUACAUUUUUUUAUACAAUAACAGUCAAAAUAAGCGGUAAACAAGAAUGAAUUUAACAACAUUCAGAUCUCACCUUCAGAUCUUACCUUUAAUAUUUUUUCGAUUUUAGAUUAUUUUCCGUAAACCUGAUGGCGAAUAUGAACAUUAAAGGGAGUAAACGUAAAGGCAGAGAAAACAAAAUAUCGUUUGAAAACCUUAAGUUAAAGGACGUUAUGUUUGAAGCGUUACAAGACAGGUAUACCGUUAGU